rnacentral:rRNA from 1 species
GACAGAGGGUGCUAGCGUUGUUCGGAAUUACUGGGCGUAAAGGGCGCGUAGGCGGUCUGCUAAGUUCGGUGUGAAAUCUCCAGGCUCAACCUGGAGGGGUCAUUCGAUACUGCCAUGACUAGAGUUCGGUAGGGGAGUGUGGAAUUCCUGGUGGAGCGGUGAAAUGCGCAGAGAUCAGGAGGAACACCCGUAGCGAAGGCGGCACUCUGGGCCGAUACUGACGCUGAGGAGCGAAAGCGUGGGGAGCGAACAGG